rnacentral:rRNA from 1 species
UACGUAGGGUGCAAGCGUUAAUCGGAAUUACUGGGCGUAAAGCGUGCGCAGGCGGCUUUGCAAGACAGAUGUGAAAUCCCCGGGCUCAACCUGGGAACUGCAUUUGUGACUGCAAGGCUAGAGUACGGUAGAGGGGGAUGGAAUUCCGCGUGUAGCAGUGAAAUGCGUAGAUAUGCGGAGGAACACCGAUGGCGAAGGCAAUCCCCUGGACCUGUACUGACGCUGAGACGCGAAGGCGUGGGGAGCGAACGGG